GGCCCGAUGGUCUAGCGGUUAAGACUUCCAUCCCUCAGUUGAUCAACCAAUCUUGGAUACCUUCAGGCUCGCACCUUUGGAUAUCUCGAGUCUGCGGUUGAUUGAGGAAUGAUGGAGAACUCCAGUUCGAGUCUGGAUCGGGCCA